UACGAAGGGGGCUAGCGUUGUCCGGAGUUACUGGGCGUAAAGCGCGCGCAGGCGGCGGUAUAAGCAUGGCGUGAAAGCCCCAGGCUUAACCUGGGAGGGUCGUCGUGGACUGUACCGCUUGAGGGCGGUAGGGGCUGGUGGAAUGCCUGGUGUAGUGGUGAAAUGCGUAGAGAUCAGGCGGAACACCCGUGGCGAAGGCGGCCAGCUGGGCCGUCCCUGACGCUGAGGCGCGAAGGCGUGGGGAGCGAACGGG
rnacentral:rRNA from 1 species